rnacentral:rRNA from 1 species
GUCCACGCCCUAAACGAUGCGAACUAGGUGUUGGGGAAGGAGACUUCUUUAGUACCGUAGCUAACGCGUGAAGUUCGCCGCCUGGGGAGUACGGUCGCAAGAUUAAAACUCAAAGGAAUUGACGGGGACCCGCACAAGCGGUGGAUGAUGUGGAUUAAUUCGAUGCAACGCGAAAAACCUUACCUACCCUUGACAUGCCGCGAACCCUGGAGAGAUCUGGGGGUGCCCGAAAUGGAAUGCGGACACAGGUGCUGCAUGGCUGUCGU